CAGGAAUGUAGAUGGCAAAGGAGAGAGAGGAGGUGAUGGCCGGAAGAACAUGGCAGAGGGCAAAACAAAACAGCAUUGGGAACAAGCUCUGUUUAAAAGGAGACUUGUGAACAGCAAAGAGUAGAAAGGGUUCUCUUACAACUGAAGCCCAUGGAAGACAAAUGUGUACUGCGUGAGUUUUAAGGCAAUAGGAGUAGUGGGACCUAGGGCACACCAGAGAGCAUAUUAACUCUCAAACUUUUAAAAACAUUAUAUCUGCUGGACACAGUGGCUCACACCUUAAUCCUACAACUUUGGGAGGCCGAGGCGGGCGGGUGUAGCUUGAGCCCAGGAGUUCGAGACCAACCUGGGCAACAUGGCAAAAUCCCGUCCCUACAAAACAAACAAACAAAAAACAAAAUUAGCCAGGCACGGUGAUGCGUACCUGUGGUCCCAGCUACUCAGAGGCUGAGGUGGGAGGAUCGCUUGAGCCCCGGGAGGUUAAGGCUGCAGUGAGCCAUGAUAAUGCCACUGCAUCUCAGCCUGGGCAACAGAGGGAGAACCUGUCUCAAAACAAAAACAAAAACACACCAUACCCAACCACAAUGCAUCUGUCUUAAGUACCAGUACCACACCCCUCUACUCACUACUAAAUAGGUGAGUUCCCAAUCCCUGGUAGCAGGUUUAAGCAUGUUAUAUUAAAGGUCUUAGGCUAGUGACUCAUUCACUCAUUAAACAAAUACUUAUUGUGCAUCUACUAUAAACUAAGUACUGUGCUAGGUACAAAAGCAAAUAAUCUAAGCUCUAUAAACUUUACUUUCUUCAUCAACAAAAUGGAGAUGUUUUAGGCAUCUACUCAUCAUUCUGAGCUCCAUCUUUUGUGACUGUAGUUGGCAGAGCUUUUUAUCAGUUUCUCUAAAUAGCUCUACCAGUCCCUGGUGGAUGCUGGCAUGCCCAAAGGAUCCAUCCUGAUGGCCCUGUCUGCUUACCUUACCUGCCUGCCUUUGCAGCACCGCUCUGCUCUUCUGCAGGACUUCCCUUAUCCUUUGGGGUCUUGCUGCUCUUAGGCUGCUCUGCUUGUUUUGAUCUGCUUUGCAUCACAUGUAUGUAAAGGUCCUUUCCUUAUUUACCCAUGACCAAGGUAUUAUGAGAUUCUGGAAUUUCCCCAAACCACAUUGAUUGCUGGGAGAAUAGAAGAAGUGGAUUACAAGUGGAACUUAGAAGGGGAGUAUUCGAGAAGACGUCUCUGCAAAUCCAUUUAGAGAGACCUUUCUCCAGUGGUGACUCAAAGAUGCAGCUCCUUUCAUCCUGUGGCUUGGCCAUCUUCAGCACAUGGCUCCCAAGGAUGUCCUCAGGAUGGUCUCUAAUCCAAGGAGCCUGAAGAGAAAAAAAGGCAUGGAGUAUUGUGAGUGGUAGGUGGUUAUGGACCAGUUAUGGAAGAAUACACAUCACUUUUGCCCACCUUCUACUAACCAGAACUCACACAGCCAUAGACACUGACAAGUAGGACUUAACAAGAAUCUAAUUUUGAGUCUAGGAAUACGACUGUAGCAAAUAUUUAACAGCUUCAAACACAGGUGCAUUGCUAUCACUAUGCUUGGCCCAGGCCUGUCUCCCUUUCCUGCCAUGUCACAGGGGCCAGCAUUUAUGUCUAGAUUGGGUUGGUUGGGAUAUUAAGACAAUAAUGAACCAAUACAACAUCUUGAGCAUAAAACCAACUGAUACAAUGAUGUACAAGUCAGAUGAUUCUGAUGAUUAUGAAUUAUGUCAAUAAAAGAAAUGUGAUAACUAAG
rnacentral:lncRNA from 10 species